UAUUCUACUCUUUUACUCUAUUUCUCUCAUCGGGUGUAAUCAGACCACAGACUCUGAUAACACGGAAACAUCCGAGGCGGAAUUGAAAAUUGUUGGAGGAUAUUGACUGUAUAGUGGAGUGGAGUCAGCCGGAUGUGCAAGAAAAUGCCGACAACAUCCGCCCUGAAGUUUGCAUCGACUCACAAUGAAGACAAACGGCCCCCCGACAGGAACAAUGAGCCGCCUUACAUGCAGAUUGAAACAAGGGUGGGUGGUUGGAAGGCUGGAUAAAGGCUGGUAGAUGACUGAACUCAGAGACCCAGCGCUGCUCAUCAUCAUUGCCAUGGGCUCUCGUCUUCCUCCUCUCCUCCUGUGGCCGGUACCUCCAACCAGGGGUCCAACAGAGCCAGUGAAGCCCGGGCAGGGAGCUAGUGAGUGGGCUGGAAAGGAUGCAACAGGUCCCUGAUGUCUAGAAGCACCUCUGGAGCUACCGGCAUGCAGGAGAAAUCAAUAUGAAACACAGAUCCAGCCCAGCUCUGUGUGGGUCUUUCCUGUGUUAGUCUGAGGCCGAGGGGCCUGCAGACCUCCAAAGGACAAGCCCUGCGUGGCCCUCGCAGCUGCAGGCUGAGACCGGCUCCUCAGACUGGACCUCAGUCCCAAUCUCCACUGGCUGUGUGUGGUUCAGCUGAAGGGGAUCUCUCCCCAAAUGCUGAGAGACCGCCGACAGGGAUAUUCCUUUCUCUUUCUUUUUUCCCUUUUAUAAGAUUGACAUAUCCCCCACCUUCUGCCUCUGGCUGUUUGAAAACAGUUUGGGAGUCCUGCUUUUGACUCUCUCUCCACCUUCAACACCCUCGUUGUUUAUUCCCCAAGCAGUUUUUCCAUUUGACAAAGAGACAGUACGAUCUUUAUUUUCUCUUCCACUUUUGGCUCACUGUUACUAUGGUGAGCUGUAGACAUGUGUUAGUUCAGACCCAAAACACCGGCACAUGAUUUUUCUCUUCGUGAUGUCUGGUAUUCAAUCCCAAAAUAUUUCUUUUUUUAAUCGACGAACUGAAUAUCAAGAAGGGCAGAAGGUCACAGAGCAGAGAGACGUCCUCAUCUUGUAGUGGAGUGGGU